rnacentral:sRNA from 1 species
GACCUAACCUUUAGAGAUUCUCUCUAGAGUAUGGUCAAAACCCCGUGAAGAAUAAAGAACUCUUAGUCAGAGUUUUGCCUUCACGGGUCAUACUUGGAAACGAGUAUGGGUGGCUUAAAAACCAUC